UAUAAUAUAAAAUCCCUUUUCAAUAUUUACAAUGAUUAUGCUCAAAACAAGGAAAAGGAUCAGCCGCUAAGAAACGGAAAAGUAGAAGUCGUCAGUAAACAGUGUGAGGACCAGUGUUGGGGAGUAACGGAAUACAUGUACCGGCCGUACGUAUUUAGAAUACUAUUCAUGAGUAACUGUAUUCCAUUACAGUUACUAAUUUUAAACAGGGUAUUUAGAAUACAGUUUGUUAUGGCUCAGUAUCUGUGCCGGUGUUUGUUUGUAUUUUUUUUCUCUCUCCCUCCUUCUCUACCUAUCAUUUUCUUUAGGUCCGCCCAGCUCAUUUCCCUAUUGGCUAAGCAAGAUGCCAGUCAUCAUUACCGUUUGCGAUGACAUCAUCAUUGUCCAAUCACAAGCAGACUUCCCCACUUAAAAAGGAAGCAGAUAUACGAGAUCCAUGGGAUUCGAGUAACAGGGUAGAUGUCACGUGACCUACAUGUUGCUACACGUGGGAGAUACCAAUGUGUUUACACACUAGUUUAGAAGUGUGCGCCACUAAUUGUGUUCCCCGUGAGCCGGACGCACUGAUGUUGUAGAUCCUCGUAAAUCCCACAGCUUUUCUCACAGGAGAUGGACAGAGAUUUAUGAAGGAAAGUGGUUGAGAAACACUGCACUAGAGGGUGUGCAUUCACAACGAACCAAGGUGUAUUUUGAUGAUGAUGUCUGUUUGAACAUUCUUCAACACAUUUGGGACAAUCACACGAUCUGCCUUUAUGAGCCACUUCUGGAAAACUCAGUCCCCGAUCGGCUGCUGUCUGUCACAGCUUGUGUGUUUUCAGGAGCAGAUCCGGGGCUCGUCAGGUCAUCUCUGAGUCCCUUUAUUAAUCUGGGGUCGCCACAGCGGAAUGAACCG